GGAGGAAAAGAAACCAACAGGGAUUGCCUCAGUAACGGCGAGUGAAGCGGCAACAGCUCAAAUUUGAAAUCUGGAGCCUUCGGCUUCCGAGUUGUAAUUUGAAGAGGAUGUUUCGGUGCGACCUGGGCCUAAGUUCCUUGGAACAGGACGUCAUGGAGGGUGAGAAUCCCGUACAUGGCUGCAGGUUUGCUUCUAUGUGAAACUCCUUCGAAGAGUCGAGUUGUUUGGGAAUGCAGCUCAAAAUGGGUGGUAAAUUUCAUCUAAAGCUAAAUAUUGGCGGGAGACCGAUAGCGCACAAGUAGAGUGAUCGAAAGAUGAAAAGCACUUUGAAAAGAGAGUUAAACAGUACGUGAAAUUGUUGAAAGGGAAGCGCUUGCAAUCAGACUCGCCUUCAGUUGAUCAGCCUUCCUUCUGGUUGGUGCACUCUGCUGUUGGCGGGCCAGCAUCAGUUGGGGCGGUGGGAUAAAGGCAGCAGGAAUGUGGCUCGCUUCGGUGAGUGUUAUAGCCUGCUGUGUCAUGCCACCAGUCCCGACUGAGGUCCGCGGUUCGCCUAGGAUGCUGGCUUAAUGGUUGUAAGCGACCCGUCUUGAAACACGGACCAAGGAGUCUAACAUCUAUGCGAGUCUUUGGGUGUAAAACCCAUGGGCGAAAUGAAAGUGAACGGAGGUGGGAGUCUUCGGAUGCACCAUCGACCGAUCCUGAUGUUCUCGGAUGGAUUUGAGUAUGAGCAUAGCUGUUGGGACCCGAAAGAUGGUGAACUAUGCCUGAAUAGGGUGAAGCCAGAGGAAACUCUGGUGGAGGCUCGCAGCGGUUCUGACGUGCAAAUCGAUCGUCAAAUUUGGGUAUAGGGGCGAAAGACUAAUCGAACCAUCUAGUAGCUGGUUCCUGCCGAAG
rnacentral:rRNA from 1 species